AUUGAACGCUGGCGGCAUGCUUUACACAUGCAAGUCGAACGGUAACAGGCCGCAAGGUGCUGACGAGUGGCGAACGGGUGAGUAAUGCAUCGGAACGUGCCCAGUCGUGGGGGAUAACGCAGCGAAAGCUGUGCUAAUACCGCAUACAAUCUAUGGAUGAAAGCGGGGGACCGUAAGGCCUCGCGCGAUUGGAGCGGCCGGUGUCAGAUUAGGUAGUUGGUGGGGUAAAGGCUCACCAAGCCAACGAUCUGUAGCUGGUCUGAGAGGCCGACCAGCCACACUGGGACUGGGACACGGCCCAGACUCCUAAGGGAGGCGGCAGUGGGGAAUUUUGGACAAUGGGCGCAAGCCUGAUCCAGCAAUGCCGCGUGCAGGAAGAAGGCCUCCGGGUUGUAAACUGCUUUUGUACGGAACGAAAAGGUUUGGGUUAAUACCCUGGGCCGAUGACGGUACCGUAAGAAUAAGCACCGGCUAACUACGUGCCAGCCGCCGCAGUAA
rnacentral:rRNA from 1 species